UGACUUUGUGUUCUUGAGUGAGCAAGAAA
rnacentral:piRNA from 1 species